ACCGUUGAUUCGCACAAUUGGUC
rnacentral:ncRNA from 2 species